UAGCGGAGGAAAAGAAACCAACAGGGAUUGCCCUAGUAACGGCGAGUGAAGCGGCAACAGCUCAAAUUUGAAAUCUGGCGCAAGCCCGAGUUGUAAUUUGUAGAGGAUGCUUCUGGGCAGCGGCCGGUCUAAGUUCCUUGGAACAGGACGUCAUAGAGGGUGAGAAUCCCGUAUGCGACCGGCUUGCACCCGUCACGUAGCUCCUUCGACGAGUCGAGUUGUUUGGGAAUGCAGCUCUAAAUGGGAGGUAAAUUUCUUCUAAGGCUAAAUACCGGCCAGAGACCGAUAGCGCACAAGUAGAGUGAUCGAAAGAUGAAAAGCACUUUGGAAAGAGAGUUAAAAAGCACGUGAAAUUGUUGAAAGGGAAGCUCACGCAACCAGACUUGUCGGCGGUGUUCCGCCGGUCUUCUGACCGGUCUAUUCGCCGCCGGCAGGCCAGCAUCACUUGGGAGCGCCGGAUAAAGGCGUGCGGAAUGUAGCCCCUCGGGGCAUUAUAGCCGCGCGCACAAUACGGCGCCUCCCGAGUGAGGUCCGCGCUUCGGCUAGGAUGCUGGCGUAAUGGUUGCUUGAGGCCCGUCU
rnacentral:rRNA from 1 species